rnacentral:rRNA from 1 species
GCUGGCGGCAGGCCUAACACAUGCAAGUCGAACGGAGUUAUAUUGUAGCUUGCUAUGGUAUAACUUAGUGGCAGACGGGUGAGUAAUGUAUAGGAAUCUACCUAGUAGUACGGAAUAAUUGUUGGAAACGGCAACUAAUACCGUAUACGCCCUACGGGGGAAAAAUUUAUUGCUAUUAGAUGAGCCUAUAUUAGAUUAGCUAGUUGGUGGAGUAAUAGCCUACCAAGGCAAUGAUCUAUAGCUGAUCUGAGAGGAUGAUCAGCCACACUGGAACUGAGAUACGGUCCAGACUCCUACGGGAGGCAGCAGUGGGGAAUAUUGGACAAUGGGCGAAAGCCUGAUCCAGCCAUGCCGCAUGAGUGAAGAAGGCCUUUGGGUUGUAAAGCUCUUUUAGUGAGGAAGAUAAUGACGGUACUCACAGAAGAAGUCCUGGCUAACUCCGUGCCAGCAGCCGCGGUAAUACGGAGAGGGCUAGCGUUAUUCGGAAUUAUUGGGCGUAAAGGGCGCGUAGGCGGAUUAGUAAGUUAAAAGUGAAAUCCCAAGGCUCAACCUUGGAAUUGCUUUUAAAACUGCUAAUCUAGAGAUUGAAAGAGGAUAGAGGAAUUCCUAGUGUAGAGGUGAAAUUCGUAAAUAUUAGGAGGAACACCAGUGGCGAAGGCGUCUAUCUGGUUCAAAUCUGACGCUGAGGCGCGAAGGCGUGGGGAGCAAACAGGAUUAGAUACCCUGGUAGUCCACGCUGUAAACGAUGAAUGUUAAAUAUGGGAAGUUUUAUUUUCUGUAUUACAGCUAACGCGUUAAACAUUCCGCCUGGGGACUACGGUCGCAAGAUU